UGUAUCACCACUGUGAUAUAUCUCUCCGCCGUGAACGUUUACCGCCGGGAAAAGUCAACGCUGCUUGAUCAGUUGCGGAAUAUUCAUUAGAGAAGCAUCAGAACACGACGACAAGUUCUAAUUCGUCAUACUCAUCACCAAACAGUCGCUUCAUCUUGUUAAUUUUCAACCAUUAAGAACCAUCACUCAAAAUUUCAUUCAAGGAGAGCGAGGAUUUACACACCGUGGAAGAAAAAAACAAGUACUGGUGAAACAACACGCAAUUAACUCUUUUGGGAUUUAAAUAGAGCAAGCAAAAAGAGAAACCAAAAAAAAAUCCGAACAAGCCAGAACUUAUUACCGGUUUACGCUUGAGAUUACUAUCCGAUUAACAGAAACAAAAUAUCCAGAGAAACCUAGAAA